GUAUGAUUGUGUUGUGUGCUACCUCUACGUCGAUCCGGUGACGUCAAGUUUGGCUACUUUGAUAUGUGAAUUUGCCGAUCUAUGUGACAAGUGCGUGUAAUGUUUCUGUCAAUUUCAAAUUGAUAUGCAUGGUAUGAUGGUUCCAGCACAGAUGAUUCCAGCACAGGACAAGCUCCUGGAAAAGAUAGUGAAGUUAUUUUAUAUUAUUAGUCCCUUUCAUCUAUAAAAAUGGUGCUUCUUUGUAUCAAAACUGGAUAGAAGAAGCUGUUCGAAGAAAUGUCGAGAGAAGCUUCAGACAGAGGAAGUCAAGUUGGAAAUAGAAAGGCGCAUUGCAGAGGGGUUGAAGAAGAAGUGUGAAGAUGUUGAAGUUCAACUUGAAAAAGAAAAGCAAGAAAUGCUUGUUGAAGCUAGAAGAAAACAAACAGGGAUAUAUUCGAGACUCUGCAUUUGAACCGCGUCGCUGGAUUGCUCCUGGACAAGACUCUAUACAUACUGCUCCUUGUGAUUGUGGGUUGGAAAAUUCUGGAGGUUCCUUUUGAUGCAAAGUUCAUCAUGGAAAAUCCACAAGUUGUGGUUGGGAAGUUGUGUGACAUCACCGCUGGAUAUGUUCAAAGACUAUUGCCGACUGUGUUGAAGCUCUUAAGGAGCAUACCACGUUGGUGGUCGAUUGAUUGCUUCACUUCCCGUCGACAAGUUUGAUAGCUACAUGUUCCAAAUGGUAUGACUCAAUUCCAAUUUUUAAGAUGAAUGAGGUUAGUUAUUGUUAUUUUCUAAUUUUAAUUUUACACUUUUCUGGCAUUGCAUGAUGUUUAUAACAAUUAGUUCUAUUGAUGCCUAUGCCUAUGCCAUGGUUUUGUGUACUUAUGGUUCUGCUAUGAAUUAACUUAAUCAAUGUGACAUUUUUUUAGUUUUAUAGACUAUAAUUGUCACCAACAAUCUGUUCUAGGCCAUUUAGAAACUAAAUGACAUUGAAAAAAUAACCAAAUGUCUAAUAGCUGUUUCUCUGUCAAUACAUGAAAAUGAAAGAUUGUGAAAAUGGCAAACGUUGUCUUUAUCCAUAUGGUUCAUUAUUUUUUAAAAGUAACAGUUGCAUGAUAUGAAAUUGAUAUCAAGUGGUUAAUUCUGAUGAAGUUAUAUUUAGGAACUGCAAACAUUUUGUCCAAUGUUAUGGUUUUAAUAAAUAGAUUUAUCCACUUCACAUGUUUCAUACUUACUAUUAUGCUAGGCCUUUUGUAAGUGCUUGUACUCGGAUUCUUGGGAUAGAAGGCACACCUGAAGGAGUAGAAGAUCAAGGGAAGCUAAUCUGAGUG